rnacentral:lncRNA from 1 species
UUUUUUGUUUUGUUUUGUUUUGUUUUUUUGAGAUGGAGUCUUGCUCUGUCGCCCAGGCUGGAGUGCAGUGGCCGGAUCUCAGCUCACUGCAAGCUCCGCCCCCCGGGUUUAUGCCAUUCUCCUGCCUCAGCCUCCCGAGUAGCUGGGACUACAGGCUCGCCACCCUCGCCCGGCUAGUUUUUGUAUUUUUUAGUAGAGACGGGGUUUCACCGUGUUAGCCAGGAUGGUCUUGAUCUCCCGACCUCAUGAUCCGCCCGUCUCAGCCUCCCAAAGUGCUGGGAUUACAGGCUUGAGCCACCGCGCCCGGCCUCAUUGUCAGUUUUAAUGUUUUCUGGAACUCCCAUUACAGUAAAAUAAGAUAAUAAAUGUUUUUUAACAUGGGAAGUACCUUCUCCUGUCUGGCAGGUUGCCCAUGUGUGACAUCCAUUUGCCGUAACACAUUAGGAUACAGACCUCUGGGAUUAACUCUUGCCUCUUGAGUGGGCAGGGGUAGGACUUGACACUGGGUGCAAUGUUGUACAAUAUCUUUUGCCUGUUCUCAUGUGACAUCAAAUUUGUUUUUUAAUCCUGCUGCAUUUAUGAGUCAAAGCAUGAAGUUCUUGUGCUUUUAUGAAUGCAGACGACACCAGUAAGUCAGCUUGUUCAUUUGCUUUAGUUAGAGGCCCUGGUAAAUUAGUGUGUGCUCGAAUAUGAGUAAUAUAAAAUGGGAAAUUUAUUUUUCUUACAGUUUGUUGUAAUAAACUGAACAGCUGGUUUAACUCAUCAUCCAUGCUAUAUUUAAUUAGAGCUGUCUCAACAUCCCUUGUAGCCUGUACUACAUAUGCAGAAUCUGAUACAAUAUUAACAGGUUGAUUAAAAUCUUGUAACACUGCAACCAACUCUGCCCUUUGGGCCGAUUGAUAUUGAGUUUUGAUGACUCGCUCUUUUGGCCCGGAGUAAGCCGCUUUUCCAUUGCUGGAACCAUCAGUAAACACUGUCAGAGCAUUUUCUAAAGGUUUAUGUCUGGUAAUUUUAGGUAAAAUCCAGGUAGUCAAUUUUAAAAACUGGAAGAUUUUUGUUUUUGCCUACUGAUUAUCAAUAACUCCCACAAAAUCAGCAGGACCAAUCUGCCAUGCAGCAGAAUUGAUAAAGGCUUGUCUAACUUGUUCCUUGUUAUUUUGUCUGGGUCAUUUCCACACAAUUUUAUUAUUCAUAAUCUUUCCUGACCAAUUAAUAUAGCUAUUUGAUCCAAGUACAAUGUAAAAGUCUUCAUUGUACUGUGAGGAAGAAAUGACCACUCCACAAGAUCAGUAUUUUGAACAAUGAUGCCUGCUGGAGAAUGUGCAGUAGCAAAAAUCAAAAGUUGGAGUGGGGCUAAGGGAUCUAUUCUAUUUAUUUGUGCUGACUGAAUUUUUUCUUCCACUAAUUUAAUUUCUUUUGUUGUCUCUGGGGAUAACUCUCUUUACUAUUUAAGUCUGGUCUCUCCUUAAGAAUAGAGAACAA